CAGCCUGCCCAGUGACAUAGUUAAACGGCCGCGGUACCCUGACCGUGCGAAGGUAGCAUAAUCACUUGUUCUUUAAAUGGGGACUAGUAUCAACGGCAUCACGAGGGCUUUUCUGUCUCCUUUUUCCAAUCAGUGAAACUGAUCUCCCUGUGAAGAAGCAGGGAUCAACAUAUAAGACGAGAAGACCCCAUGGAGCUUUAAACCCAAUGAGCAGCCCGACCCUAUAUAUUGCAUCUUAGUCACUUACAAGCCUUGUUCAUUGGUUUUAGGUUGGGGUGACCGCGGAGAAAAACUAAACCUCCACGACGCAUGGGACUACUCCCUUAUCCAAGAGCCACUUCUCUAAGAAUUAAAACAUUAACGUUCUAUGAUCCAAAUAAUUGAUCAACGGACCAAGUUACCCUGGGGAUAACAGCGCAAUCCAUUUUGAGAGCCCCUAUCGACAAAUGGGUUUACGACCUCGAUGUUGGAUCAGGGUGUCCCAGUGGUGCAGCCGCUACUAAUGGUUUGUUUGUUCAACAAUUAAAACCCUACGUGAUCUGG
rnacentral:rRNA from 1 species